GCCUACCAUGGUUUUAACGGGUAACGGGGAAUUAGGGUUCGAUUCCGGAGAGGGAGCCUGAGAAACGGCUACCACAUCCAAGGAAGGCAGCAGGCGCGCAAAUUACCCAAUCCCGACACGGGGAGGUAGUGACAAUAAAUAACAAUACGGGGCUUAUUUGGGUCUCGUAAUUGGAAUGAGUACAAUUUAAAUCCCUUAACGAGGAACAAUUGGAGGGCAAGUCUGGUGCCAGCAGCCGCGGUAAUUCCAGCUCCAAUAGCGUAUAUUAAAGUUGUUGCAGUUAAAAAGCUCGUAGUUGAACUUCGGGGUCUACCCAUUGGUCAGGCUUAAUUGUCUGCACUGGUGAGAUGGAUCUCUACCUUCUGAGGAACUUUCAUGCCAUUUAUUUGGUGUGAUGGGAAAUCAGGACUGUUACUUUGAAAAAAUUAGAGUGUUUAAAGCAGACUAUCGUCUGAAUACAUUAGCAUGGAAUAAUGAAAUAGGACGGACUGAUUCUAUUUCGUUGGUUUCUAGGAUCACCGUAAUGAUUAAUAGGGAUAGUUGGGGGCAUUAGUAUUCAAUUGUCAGAGGUGAAAUUCUUGGAUUUAUUGAAGACUAACUACUGCGAAAGCAUUUGCCAAGGAUGUUUUCAUUAAUCAAGAACGAAAGUUAGGGGAUCGAAGACGAUCAGAUACCGUCGUAGUCUUAACCAUAAACUAUGCCGACUAGGGAUCGGACGAAGUUAAUUUUAUAAUGACGCGUUCGGCACCUUACG
rnacentral:rRNA from 1 species